UACAGAGGUCUCAAGCGUUGUUCGGAUUCAUUGGGCGUAAAGGGUGCGUAGGUGGCGAGGUUAGUCAGGUGUGAAAUCUCGGGGCUCAACCCCGAAACUGCACUUGAUACUGCCUUGCUAGAGUACUGGAGAGGAGAUUGGAAUUUACGGUGUAGCAGUGAAAUGCGUAGAUAUCGUAAGGAAGACCAGAGGCGAAGGCGGCUACCUGGACAAUUGCUGACGCUCAGGCACGAAAGCGUGGGGAGCAAAAGGG
rnacentral:rRNA from 1 species